AUCUUCAUAGUUUAUUUAAAAUAUUACACUGAAAAUGUAAAGAAAAAUUUUUUGAAGGUA
rnacentral:tRNA from 1 species